rnacentral:rRNA from 1 species
CCCGCUGAACUUAAGCAUAUCAAUAAGCGGAGGAAAAGAAACUAACAAGGAUUCCCUUAGUAACUGCGAGUGAAGAGGGAAAAGCUCAAAUUUAAAAUCUGGCAGUGUUUCACUGUCCGAGUUGUAACCUAGAGAAGUGUAACCUGCGCUGGACCGUGUAUAAGUCUCCUGGAAUGGAGCAUCACAGAGGGUGAGAAUCCCGUCUUUGACAUGGACCACCAGUGCAUUGUGGUUGUGCUCUCAACGAGUCGAGUUGUUUGGGAAUGCAGCUCAAAAUGGGUGGUAAAUUCCAUCUAAAGCUAAAUAUUGGCGAGAGACCGAUAGCGAACAAGUACCGUGAGGGAAAGAUGAAAAGAACUUUGGAAAGAGAGUUAAACAGUACGUGAAAUUGCUGAAAGGGAAACGCUUGAAGUCAGUCACGUUGGCCAGGGAUCAACCUUGCUUUUGCUUGGUGUACUUUCUGGUUGAUGGGUCAGCAUCAAUUUUGACCAUUGGAAAAAGGUCAAGGGAAUGUGGCAUCUUCGGAUGUGUUAUAGCCCUUGGUUGCAUACAAUGGUUGGGAUUGAGGAACUCAGCACGCCGCAAGGCCGGGUUUUUAACCACGUACGUGCUUAGGAUGCUGGCAAAAUGGCUUUAAUCGACCCGUCUUGAAACACGG